CCUACGGGAGGCUGCAGUGAGGAAUAUUGGUCAAUGGACGAGAGUCUGAACCAGCCAAGUAGCGUGAAGGAUGACGGCCCUAGGGGUUGUAAACUUCUUUUAUAUGGGAAUAAAAUGUUCCACGUGUGGGGUUUUGUAUGUACCAUAUGAAUAAGGAUCGGCUAACUCCGUGCCAGCAGCCGCGGUCAUACGGAGGAUCCGAGCGUUAUCCGGAUUUAUUGGGUUUAAAGGGAGCGUAGGUGGAUUGUUAAGUCAGUUGUGAAAGUUUGCGGCUCAACCGUAAAAUUGCAGUUGAAACUGGCAGUCUUGAGUACAGUAGAGGUGGGCGGAAUUCGUGGUGUAGCGGUGAAAUGCUUAGAUAUCACGAAGAACUCCGAUGGCGAAGGCAGUUCACUGGACUGCAACUGACACUGAGGCUCGAAAGUGUGGGUAUCAAACAGGAUUAGAUACCCGUGUAGUC
rnacentral:rRNA from 1 species